UACGGAGGUGGCAAGCGUUGUUCGGAAUUACUGGGCGUAAAGGGCGCGUAGGCGGCAAGGCAAGUCAGGUGUGAAAGCCCCGAGCUUAACUCGGGAAUUGCAUCUGAAACUGCUGUGCUUGAGUUCUGGAGGGGGUAGUGGAAUUCCCAGUGUAGCGGUGAAAUGCGUAGAUAUUGGGAGGAACACGUGCGGCGAAGGCGGCGACCUGGACAGAAACUGACGCUGAGGCGCGAAAGCUAGGGGAGCGAACGGG
rnacentral:rRNA from 1 species